rnacentral:rRNA from 1 species
CCUACGGGUGGCAGCAGUGAGGAAUAUUGGUCAAUGGACGAGAGUCUGAACCAGCCAAGUAGCGUGAAGGAUGACUGCCCUAUGGGUUGUAAACUUCUUUUAUAUGGGAAUAAAACGUUCCACGUGUGGGAUUUUGUAUGUACCAUAUGAAUAAGGAUCGGCUAACUCCGUGCCAGCAGCCGCGGUAAUACGGAGGAUCCGAGCGUUAUCCGGAUUUAUUGGGUUUAAAGGGAGCGUAGGUGGAUUGUUAAGUCAGUUGUGAAAGUUUGCGGCUCAACCGUAAAAUUGCAGUUGAAACUGGCAGUCUUGAGUACAGUAGAGGUGGGCGGGAUUCGUGGUGUAGCGGUGAAAUGCUUAGAUAUCACGAAGAACUCCGAUUGCGAAGGCAGUUCACUGGACUGCAACUGACACUGAGGCUCGAAAGUGUGGGUAUCAAACAGGAUUAGAUACCCCAGUAGUC